GGUGCUGUAGCUCAGUGGUAGAGCACCUGCCUUGCACAUGUGCAGCACUGGGUUUGAUCCUCAGCACCA
rnacentral:tRNA from 1 species